AGGGACUCGAGAGGGUCAAGUCAGAGAAGGAGGUUGAGAAUAAGCAGCAGCAGCUGAUUAAAGCACCUCCCCUGUGCCCACUGGGCCAUGUAGUGUCCAACUGCCAGGUCUGUGCAGUGGUGGGAAACUCAAGGUCUCUACGGAGCUCUGGCCUUGGCUUCAGGAUUAAUCAACGUGAAGUGGUCCUCAGGUGGGUGCAGGGUAGGAGGUGGAGACCAAGACCAAGCCGAAGCCUUUUCCUCCUCUAAAUGACCAUCCUAACUUCCUUUUCAGGAUGAACCAGGCCCCUGUCCGAGGCUUUGAGGCAGAUGUGGGGAACAGGACCACCAUGCGCAUUAUGUACCCUGGGAUUGCCAGCCCUCAGGACCCCGGUACCCAACUGCUGCUGCUUCCGUUGAAUUCAUCUGGUCUGGAGUGGUUCAUAAGUGUACUGCAUAAACAGACAAGCAUGUGGAAGCAAAAAAAACCCUGGAUUUCAGACAGUUCAGGUUCCUGGUGGAACUGAAGACAGCAAAGAUAAGGUGCUGGUGAUCAGCCUCUACUUCCUCAGGUAUAUCCAGGAAAGUUGGCUGGAGAACCAUGGUCAGUAUCCGUCCUUGGAGUUUGUGGCUCUGUUGUAUGCCUUGCAUACCUGUGACCAGGUAAGAUAUCUCCUGCAACUCACAGACUUUC
rnacentral:lncRNA from 1 species